rnacentral:rRNA from 1 species
GACGAACCGUGCGAACGUUGUUCGGAUUCACUGGGCAUAAAGGGCGCGUAGGCGGGUCACCAAGUCCGUGGUGAAAGCCCCCGGCUCAACCGGGGAAGUGCUUCGGAUACUGGUGGUCUCGAGUGGGGUAGGGGCAUGCGGAACUUCCGGUGGAGCAGUGAAAUGCGUAGAUAUCGGAAGGAACGCCGGUGGCGAAAGCGGCGUGCUGGACCCCAACUGACGCUGAGGCGCGAAAGCCAGGGGAGCAAACGGG